GACGAACGCUGGCGGCGUGCCUAAUACAUGCAAGUCGAGCGGUCUGAGCCUUGCGGGCUUGCCCGCGGGGUUUAGAUAGCGGCGAACGGGUGAGUAACACGUGGGCAACCUGCCCCUCAGACUGGGAUAACUCUGGGAAACUGGAGCUAAUACCGGAUAAUCUUCUAUUCCGCAUGGGAUAGGAGUAAAAGGGGAGACCCGCUGGGGGAUGGGCCCGCGGCGCAUUAGCUAGUUGGUGGGGUAACGGCCUACCAAGGCGACGAUGCGUAGCCGACCU
rnacentral:rRNA from 1 species